rnacentral:lncRNA from 1 species
UGAAACCUGGUCAUGUGGGGCAGCGCCUCCUCGCUCUUGCUCUGACAUCGUCACAAGGAUGUGGCCACCUCCGCUCUGCUUUUCCUGCCUGCUCAGUUUUUGCUCUAUCGGUUGGCCUCUCGCACAGGGGGGAAUCGCCGGCAGCCCUGGGGAAGGAAAGAUGUGGAGGAAACUCGCUUUUCAGAAGGCCCCAGCCAAUGUCAACAGGAAAUCUCUAUGUCUGUGCCCAAGGGCGGCGAUGCACAACAGCCCCAUAAUCUCUCAGAGCACUUUGCCCAGCUGUCCUGGUAUGAUGCCUUGGCUGGGACAUGGGUGCCGAUAGCCGUCAUCCGUCCAGGGAAAUCAAACCCGCUCCACAGCUCCUUCGCCAGGCAUAUCUCUGUGUCCAACAGAUGGUUCACCGUGAUGAACGCCAGCAAAGCCAUUGCAGGGGUUUAUAAGAUUGAAUCUGAGAUGAAGAAAAGCAAGUGUCUGGUUUUCAUCCGUCUGAUUGUAACAGAGCCUGCACCAACCUCAGUGCCAACCUCAGCUCCAGCCUCCCAGGUGGCCCUGGUCAGCAUUGGGACAGCAGCUGCAGAGCCUGGAUCUUGGUCCAGCCGUAUUGCAGAGGUGGUGGUGCCGGUCGUGGGGGCAGUGAUGGUGGUGGCGCUGUUGAUAUGGCAGAUAAAGAAUAUUGCUCGCUACACGCACUCGUUCUGCAGCCGUCAUGACUUCCCUGCCAGAGCCGCCCCGUCCCAGCAGGCUAGCGACUCAGGCCCGAUGCAGGAGCUGGCAGAGCUGAUGCAGCCAGAGGACGCCAGAGGUGGGGAUCGGUCGGCCAUGCUGAAUGGGAAACUUCUCGGCAGCGCUGAAAUGCUAAAUGCUGGGGGACUGAAUGUGCAGCGGCAGUCAAAAAAGCAAACAGAACGUUGGGUCUCAUUAAGAAGGGGACAGAUAGUAAGACAGAAAAUAUGUUCACAGAAUCAUAGAAUAACAGGGUUGGAAGGGACCUCAGGAGGUCAUCUAGUCCAACCCCCUGCACAAAGCAGGACCAAUUCCCAACUAAAUCAUCCCAGCCAGGGGUUUGUCAAGCCUGACCUUAAAAACCUCUAAGGAAGGAGAUUCCACCACCUCCCUAGGUAACCCAUUCCAGUGCUUGCAUCUUUAUGUUGCCUCUAUAUAAAUCCAUGGUACCCCCACAUCUUGAAUACUGGGUGCAGAUACAAUUGCCCCAUCUCUAAAAAGAUAUAUUAUAACUGGGAAAGAUACAUGUAACAAUGCAGUUCUGGCGGGACCCAACUGAGAAUGCCAAUUCAGGACCAAUUGCUCAAACAGGGCAGUCACAGCCCAAGGCUGGGGUUUUUCCACCUCUAAGGCAAACCAAACCAGCCAGACAAAAAUGACUUCGGUUUCACCCCACUGGCUAAUCACACGUCACA